rnacentral:rRNA from 1 species
UACGUAGGGUGCGAGCGUUGUCCGGAAUUAUUGGGCGUAAAGGGCUCGUAGGCGGUCUGUCACGUCGGGAGUGAAAACUCAGGGCUUAACCCUGAGCCUGCUUCCGAUACGGGCUGACUAGAGGUAUGCAGGGGAGAACGGAAUUCCUGGUGUAGCGGUGAAAUGCGCAGAUAUCAGGAGGAACACCGGUGGCGAAGGCGGCAUCCUGGACCGGUAUUGACGCUGAGGCGCGAAAGCCAGGGGAGCAAACGGG